rnacentral:RNase_P_RNA from 1 species
AAGAGAUGAAGGGCAGCCGACGGUAGGACCUAGGUCCGGCUGAGGAACUUCCCUCCUCCACAGGGCAAGAUGAACCGGGAAAUCCGGUAAGGCGAGAGCUUUGGCAAGGGCCCAGAAACGACACAGCCUUGGUUAAGGGUGAUCUGCGGACAGUGACGUUCCCAAGGAUAUGAUGAAACGGCGACACCUCAUCGGAGCAAACUCAUACAGCCGGGAUGACCGCCCGAGACCGGCGGGUAGAGCGCGUAGUUGAAUGCUGCCUGAAACAGAAGGGGGGGUACUAUCAUGACUU